rnacentral:rRNA from 1 species
AUUGAACGCUGGCGGCAGGCCUAACACAUGCAAGUCGAGCGGAUGAGUGGAGCUUGCUCCAUGAUUCAGCGGCGGACGGGUGAGUAAUGCCUAGGAAUCUGCCUGGUAGUGGGGGACAACGUUUCGAAAGGAACGCUAAUACCGCAUACGUCCUACGGGAGAAAGCAGGGGACCUUCGGGCCUUGCGCUAUCAGAUGAGCCUAGGUCGGAUUAGCUAGUAGGUGAGGUAAUGGCUCACCUAGGCGACGAUCCGUAACUGGUCUGAGAGGAUGAUCAGUCACACUGGAACUGAGGCACGGUCCAGACUCCUACGGGAGGCAGCAGUGGGGAAUAUUGGACAAUGGGCGAAAGCCUGAUCCAGCCAUGCCGCGUGUGUGAAGAAGGUCUUCGGAUUGUAAAGCACUUUAAGUUGGGAGGAAGGGCAGUAAGUUAAUACCUUGCUGUUUUGACGUUACCAACAGAAUAAGCACCGGCUAACUUCGUGCCAGCCGCCGCUGUAACAC